rnacentral:tRNA from 1 species
CGGGAUUUAUUACAGAGCCCACUGCCUUCGGGAGGCAGGGGCCGGAGGUUCGAAUCCUCUCACCCCGACCA